AUUGAACGCUGGCGGCAGGCCUAACACAUGCAAGUCGAGCGGAUGAAGGGAGCUUGCUCCUGGAUUCAGCGGCGGACGGGUGAGUAAUGCCUAGGAAUCUGCCUGGUAGUGGGGGAUAACGUCCGGAAACGGGCGCUAAUACCGCAUACGUCCUGAGGGAGAAAGUGGGGGAUCUUCGGACCUCACGCUAUCAGAUGAGCCUAGGUCGGAUUAGCUAGUUGGUGGGGUAAAGGCCUACCAAGGCGACGAUCCGUAACUGGUCUGAGAGGAUGAUCAGUCACACUGGAACUGAGACACGGUCCAGACUCCUACGGGAGGCCGCAGUGGGGAAUAUUGGACAAUGGGCCAAAGCCUGAUCCAGCCAUGCCGCGGGUGUGAAGAAGGUCUUCGGAUUGUAAAGCACUUUAAGUUGGGAGGAAGGGCAGUAAGUUAAUACCUUGCUGUUUUGACGUUACCAACAGAAUAAGCACCGGCUAACUUCGUG
rnacentral:rRNA from 1 species